rnacentral:lncRNA from 1 species
CCGAGUAGUCGUGGGAUGUCCAAGCUACUGUAGUGUAGUAUUUUAGGUAGCCUUUAGGAUUUUCUUUGUUUUUCCUUGUAGCUCUUGUUUUGCUUGAACUCCUUUGGCCUUUGCUAGUUGUUUAUAAACAUGUUUUCCUUCGUUUUUCUUCAUCUUCACUUCUUUUGUUCAGCCCUAACCUUUAGACUUGAUAGACCAGUGGCAGGCAUGCUACUUUUUAUAAGCAGACAAGCUCGCGUAGCUUAUGCAGCCGUAGGUGUUGGUGUAGAACUUUGCAAAGUUGUUAGCCAUAGGGUUGGUAGCCGGAUGCCUUACUUACAGAAGCAGACAAGUCCGCGUAA